ACGAGGCGGAAGGGGGCAACUCCUUCCAGUCGAGUGGCGGACGGGUGAGUAACACGUGGGUAACCUGCCCGGAAGUGUGGAAUACCUCGGGGAAACUCGAGCUAAUACCGCAUGACAUCUUCGGGACGAAAGUCCUGACGAUCAAAGCGGGGUCGCAAGAUCUCGCGCUACCGGAUGGGCCCGCGCCCGAUUAGCUAGUUGGUGGGGUAACGGCUCACCAAGGCUUCGAUCGGUAACCGGCCUGAGAGGGCGAUCGGUCACACCGGAACUGAGACACGGUCCGGACUCCUACGGGAGGCAGCAGUGGGGAAUCUUGCGCAAUGGGCGAAAGCCUGACGCAGCAACGCCGCGUGGAGGAUGAAGGCCCUUGGGUUGUAAACUCCUGUCGGCUGGGAAGAAAUCGUGCGGUGCUCAUACCACCGUACGUUGACUGUACCAGCAAAGGAAGCCCCGGCUAACUCUGUGCCAGCAGCCGCGGUAAUACAGAGGGGGCUAGCGUUAUUCGGAAUUAUUGGGCGUAAAGGGCGCGUAGGCGGCCAUGCGUGUCUUCCGUGAAAUCCCUCGGCUUAACUGAGGACGUGCGGAAGAAACUGCAAGGCUCGAGUCCGGGAGAGGGGGGUGGAAUUCCCAGUGUAGCGGUGAAAUGCGUAGAUAUUGGGAGGAACACCGGUGGCGAAGGCGGCCCCCUGGACCGGUACUGACGCUGAG
rnacentral:rRNA from 1 species